UUUUCUUUUGUCAAAAUCUGGAAAUAUUUAGCAAAUUGAAACAAUGCAGAGAAGAUUAGUGUGGCCUCUGUGGAAAGAUGACAUGCAAAUUUGUGAAGCGUUUCAGGGUUUU